CUUUGUGAUGAUUUCCUGAUAGGGACAGCUUAUGCUUCGCAUAUGAUUCGAACCGGGAAAGAGUAUUUUAGUAGAUGCUUCUCACCUCUGACU
rfam:Fonsecaea erecta strain CBS 125763 Scaff1, whole genome shotgun sequence.